rnacentral:rRNA from 1 species
CGACACGACCGUACCGCAAACCGACACUGGUGCGCGAGAUGAGUAUUCUAAGGCGCUUGAGAGAACUCAGGAGAAGGAACUCGGCAAAUUGACACCGUAACUUCGGAAGAAGGUGUGCCUUUAGUAGGUGAACCUGUACAAGGGGAGCCCAAUGAGGUUGCAAAAAAUCGGUGGCUGCGACUGUUUAAUAAAAACACAGCACUCUGCAAACACGAAAGUGGACGUAUAGGGUGUGACGCCUGCCCGGUGCUGGAAGAUUAAAUGAUGGGGUGCAAGCUCUUGAUUGAAGUCCCAGUAAACGGCGGCCGUAACUAUAACGGUCCUAAGGUAGCGAAAUUCCUUGUCGGGUAAGUUCCGACCUGCACGAAUGGCGUAACGAUGGCCACACUGUCUCCUCCUGAGACUCAGCGAAGUUGAAAUGUUUGUGAUGAUGCAAUCUCCCCGCGGAAAGACGGAAAGACCCCAUGAACCUUUACUGUAGCUUUGUAUUGGACUUUGAACAGAUCUGUGUAGGAUAGGUGGGAGGCUUUGAAGUGUGGUCGCUAGAUCGCAUGGAGCCAACGUUGAAAUACCACCCUGGUGUGUUUGAGGUUCUAACCUAGGCCCGUAAUCCGGGUCGGGGACAGUGCAUGGUAGGCAGUUUGACUGGGGCGGUCUCCUCCCAAAGCGUAACGGAGGAGUUCGAAGGUACGCUAGGUACGGUCGGACAUCGUGCUAAUAGUGCAAUGGCAUAAGCGUGCUUAACUGCGAGACUGACAAGUCGAGCAGAUGCGAAAGCAGGACAUAGUGAUCCGGUGGUUCUGUAUGGAAGGGCCAUCGCUCAACGGAUAAAAGGUACUCUGGGGAUAACAGGCUGAUACCGCCCAAGAGUUCAUAUCGACGGCGGUGUUUGGCACCUCGAUGUCGGCUCAUCUCAUCCUGGGGCUGUAGCCGGUCCCAAGGGUAUGGCUGUUCGCCAUUUAAAGAGGUACGUGAGCUGGGUUUAAAACGUCGUGAGACAGUUUGGUCCCUAUCUUCCGUGGGCGCUGCAGAUUUGAGGAAGCCUGCUCCUAGUACGAGAGGACCGGAGUGGACACACCUCUGGUGUAUCGGUUGUCACGCCAGUGGCAUUGCCGAGUAGCUAUGUGUGGAAGAGAUAACCGCUGAAAGCAUCUAAGCGGGAAACUCGUUUCAAGAUGAGAUCUGCCGGGGCCUUGAGCCCCCUAAAGAGUCGUUCAAGACCAGGACGUUGAUAGGUCGGGUGUGGAAGCGCAGUAAUGCGUUAAGCUAACCGAUACUAAUUGCUCGUGCGGCUUGACCCC